rnacentral:rRNA from 1 species
CAGUCGCCGCGGUAAUACGAAGGGGGCUAGCGUUGUUCGGAAUUACUGGGCGUAAAGCGCACGUAGGCGGAUAUUUAAGUCAGGGGUGAAAUCCCAGAGCUCAUCUCUGGAACUGCCUUUGAUACUGGGUAUCUUGAGUAUGGAAGAGGUUAGUGGAAUUGCGAGUGUAGAGGUGAAAUUCGUAGAGAUCGGGAGGAACAUCAGUGGCGAAGGCGGCCAUCUGGGACAACACUGACGCUGAGGCACGAAAGCGUGGGGAGCAAACAGGAUUAGAUACCCGCGUAGUCCCUGUCUCUUAUAC